rnacentral:lncRNA from 1 species
AUAGACCGUCUUCAUUUGCUCCAGUUUGCUCUCCAAAGAAUCUCUGAACAUCCUUAACUUGCUGGGAGAAUUUUCAAGCUUUACCUGCAGUAAUUGGGCACAGCUGGAAGAGGUAAUGCCCAAAAUUAACUGAUGCAACUGGCGCUGGCACUGAAUCUAUGUAAGUGCAGGUCUACACUAUAUGGAAGCCAGCAAAGCACAGACUUAUGUUGUCUGUAAGGAACAGUUGUAACUUUGGUGAACAUUACUAACAAUUCAGCAAAAUGGUGGGAGACAUAAUUUUUUUUGAGGACGUGUUCUGUUUGCUGAUAGCAGUGGGGAAGAAGAGGAGGAGAUCUUGGACUGAAACAGAGAAAAACACCCGUAACAGGUGGAUGCCAGAAGAACUCCCAGCUGCAGAGGUUGUUGCUGGCAUUUGGGCAGACCCACAAAGCUGCAAACAGUCGGUGUGCGCCUUAAAUUCAGUGACUCCUUUGAAGUGAAACCCCAGCAAGCUCCAUGGUGAUUUGUAGAGGAUGCCUGGGUCUGUCUUCUCCUUUUGGUGAUCCUGAGCCAGUCUUUGUGUCCGGACCAUGGGAACACAUCAUGAACAAGCCCUCAAGAUCUUACAGGUCAUGACAUACUCUGUAAAGCCAUUGUACACUCAAAGAAAAAAAGUGCCAUAAAAAACCAAAGCCUUAUUAUUGCUUACAGGUGGGUCAUGUCCUUUAAUUUUGCUCUGUGGAUCAUCUUGCUGAGCAUGAAAAUGAUGAAGUCUCCUCUUUCUGUUGUGAGAAGUCAUGAUGAAGAUCUAGAAUCAUAGAAUCAUUUAUGUUAGAACAUGUAGUUCAUUAUUAGCUUCAGAAAAACGACUUAAUUAGUUCCUUGUCAGAGCAGUGUUUCUCAAUGAUGUUGCAUCGCUUGCUUUCUGUCAGACACUGUUGUCUUGGCCAGGAGGUCCAAGAGUCUUGCCUUGCUCUAAGAAGAGGCAACAGAGCUUAAGAUGCUUUAUUGAAAUACUGCCACUGUUACGAAUAAUUUGACUGGAGGUUUCUCCAUGACUUCUGCCACAUCUCUUUUCAAAUUUUAACUGAAUACAUGUAUUUGUUUUUCUCAUGCAUCCUGGAUUCAAGUUUUAAAGCCGACCUUACUUAAUUUGACCUUAUCUAGCUAAUUUAUCAUGGGCCCGCGUUCCUAAACAAUGCUAAAUGGAGUACAUUUCCUUCUGUCUUCCCAAGUAACUCGCUCUCCUGCAAAACUCAAACCAUUAAAAGUGAGGAUGAUAGCAGAAGCUCCAAGAUAUAAGUGAACUUAAUAUAAAUAUUCAUAAUCAUGUCAACUUCACUUUUGAAACAAUUUCUGAAAUGUUAGUUUGCCAUAACAGCUGGUCACAAAGCACAAAGGUUAGGUUAAGCUUCCUUCGUUAAUGGUUUGGCUCAAUGCACCCAGCAGUAUAAUGUAUUUUAUCAGUGAGGGAAAUGAUAUUGGUUUAAGAGGUUUCAUGUAACAGUCAUAUCCUGGCCAAAUGUAAUUUU